GCCUAACACAUGCAAGUCGAACGAUUAAGACCCCUUCGGGGGUGUAUAGAGUGGCGAACGGGUGAGUAACACGUGGGGAACCUGCCCCUCUCCAUGGGACAACUUCGAGAAAUCGGAGCUAAUACCGGAUACUCCUCGCGGACCGCAUGGUCUGCUCGGGAAAGCUCCGGCGGUGAGGGAUGGCCCCGCGGCCCAUUAGCUAGUUGGUGAGGUAAUGGCCCACCAAGGCGACGAUGGGUAGCCGAGCUGAGAGGCUGAUCGGCCACACUGGGACUGAGACACGGCCCAGACUCCUACGGGAGGCAGCAGUGGGGAAUUUUGCGCAAUGGGCGAAAGCUCUGACGCAGCAACGCCGCGUGCGGGAUGAAGGCCCUCGGGUCGUAAACCGCUUUCAGCAGGGACGAACGUGACGGUACCUGCAGAAGAAGCCCCGGCUAACUACGUGCCAGCAGCCGCGGUAAUAC
rnacentral:rRNA from 1 species